rnacentral:lncRNA from 1 species
UUAAUUCUCAUUGUUUGAGUCGAUUCCAAAAGUUGUAAGUCCUAACCCACUUUAAGUGUCAUUUGGGCCUCAUGCCAUCCUUUCUUUCUAACCCUAUCCAAUAGCCAAGUUACAACCAAAGAAAGACCUUCAGAUCAAUCUUUGGGGAUGUUAAGGCAAAGCAUGCAAGGGAUAUGAUGAUGUAUUUGGGAACUACCUGUCUUCCUCAGCACAAGGAAUCAAGAGAGAAAUAAAAAUGAGAGAGUCUUAUUGGUGAAAACCCUCACGGGCC